rnacentral:rRNA from 1 species
UACAGAGGUCUCAAGCGUUGUUCGGAUUCAUUGGGCGUAAAGGGUGCGUAGGCGGCGCGGUAAGUCGGGGUGUGAAAUCUUGGGCUUAACUCCGAAACUGCAUUCGAUACUGCCGUGCUUUGAGGACUGGAGAGGAGACUGGAAAUUUUACGGUGUAGCGGUGAAAAUGCGUAGAUAUCGUAAGGAAGACCAGUGGCGAAGGCGGGGUCUCUGG